GAUCCUGGCUCAGGAUUAACGCUAGCGGCAGGUCUAAUACAUGCAAGUCGAACGGGAUUCAAAGUAGCAAUAUUUUGAUGAGAGUGGCGCACGGGUGAGUAACACGUAUGCAAUUUACCUUUAACUGGGGGAUAGCCCUCCGAAAGGAGGAUUAAUACCGCAUAAUAUAUUGAAAUGGCAUCAUUUUAAUAUUAAACCUACGGGGGUUAAAGAUGAGCAUGCAUCCGAUUAGGGCUAGUUGGUGUGGUAACGGCUCACCAAGGCAACGAUCAGUAGCUGGUCUGAGAGGAUGAUCAGCCACACGGGCACUGAGACACGGGCCCGACUCCUACGGGAGGCAGCAGUAGGGAAUAUUGGACAAUGGGCGCAAGCCUGAUCCAGCCAUCCCGCGUGAAGGAUUAAAGCCCUCUGGGUUGUAAACUUCUUUUCUUUGGGAAUAAAAACUCCGCUUCUACGGAGCUUGAAGGUACCAGAGGAAUAAGCACCGGCUAACUCCGUG
rnacentral:rRNA from 1 species